AGCGAACGUUAGCGGCGGGCCUAACACAUGCAAGUCGAGCGAGAAAGUGGCUUCGGCCACGAGUAAAGCGGCGGACGGGUGAGUAACACGUAGGUAAUCCUCCCUUGAGCGGGGGACAACGAGCCGAAAGGCUCGCCAAUACCGCAUACGUUUCCAGAGGCCCCGGUCUCUGGAAGGAAAGCUAGGCCGCCAGGUCUGGCACUCGAGGAGGAGCCGGCGUCGCUUCAGCUAGUUGGGGGGGUAACGGCCUACCAAGGCGAAGACGCUUAGCUGGUCUGAGAGGAUGAUCAGCCACACUGGGACUGAGACACGGCCCAGACUCCUACGGGAGGCAGCAGUGGGGAAUAUUGGACAAUGGGCGCAAGCCUGAUCCAGCCACGCCGCGUGAGUGAUGAAGGCCUUCGGGUCGUAAAGCUCUGUGGGGAGGGACGAACCGCUGCACGUUCAUAGCGUGCAGCAUGACGGUACCUCCUUAGCAAGCACCGGCUAACUUCGUGCCAGCAGCCGCCGUAA
rnacentral:rRNA from 1 species